rnacentral:rRNA from 1 species
AGCAGCCGUGGUAAUUCCAGCUCCAAUAGCGUAUAUUAAAGUUGUUGCAGUUAAAAAGCUCGUAGUUGAAUUUUGGAUUCUGCCAGUUGGUCCAUCUUUUGAUGAGUACUGAUUGUGUGGGGUCUAUCCGCCUGGUGAUACGUAAUGUACUUUAUUGUAUGUUGCGGGUAGUCGGGACCUUUACCUUGAAAAAUUAGAGUGUUUAAAGCAGGCUUAUGCCGGAAUACAUUAGCAUGGAAUAAUAGAAUAGGACGAUGUUGUUUUAUUUUGUUGGUUUCUAGGACAACCGUAAUGAUUAAUAGGGAUAGUUGGGGGCAUUAGUAUUCAAUUGUCAGAGGUGAAAUUCUUGGAUUUAUUGAAGACUAACUACUGCGAAAGCAUUUGCCAAGGAUGUUUUCAUUAAUCAAGAACGAAAGUUAGGGGAUCGAAGACGAUCAGAUACCGUCGUAGUCUUAACCAUAAACUAUGCCGACUAGGGAUCGGGCGAUGUUGUUUCCAUGACUCGCUCGGCACCUUAUA